rnacentral:lncRNA from 1 species
AUGUUUAUUGCACUAAUUUGUAACCCUCUGUUAAAGGGUCAUUUUAUUGGAGGCAAAAUUCGAGAGAUUCAUGCCAUCGAACAGGCCACCUUUAAGCAGUGGCAACAGGGAAGGACUUCAACAAGUCGCAGGAAUGAGGAAUCUUCUGGCCUGUUUGAUGUUAGGGAUCAGAUAGAGGAGCUGCUGGAAGCCUCUCGAGGCCUAGAAGAUGUGACCAGACACAUCAAAGAGAUUGCAGCCACAUCAAGGGACCUGACGGCAGUACAGAACCGUGAAUUGAAGGAGACUUUCGCCUGUUUGGUUUGCAAAGGUACAAUGGAAAACCCCAUGUUUUCGGCAUGCUGCAGGAGCCUGGUGGGGUGUAAGACAUGCAUAGGUGAAUGGAUGGCAACUUCAUCUUGUUGCCUUGAGUGCAGAACAGAUGACCCUGUUGUGACUGAGGUUGUGGGUCUGUCUGCUGCUCUGGAUAUCUUUAGGAGUUAUUAAUGAACAUGAUGUGAGCGUUUGUGGAAGCAUACAGUACUCGAAUGUUUUCAUAUUGCAUUUACUGUCCACCUGGCAUAUUUGUGUACAUUUUUAUUUGAUGGUUCUGCAUUGUUUGUUCCCUAAUGCUACCUUACAUUAACAAAACAUUGUUUUGUUCAUGCACACUGUUCUGAUGGAAUCUUUGUAGUAAAUUCAGCUAAGACUAGGUCUACAUGUGGUUUGAAGACUUGACCAAAAGUCGUCUCAUUUGUUUUUAUUGCCAUGUUCAUCUAAUGUCUGUUCUAAAAUGCAUAACUCUGUUUUAAUAUUGGUCAGUCGCCAAAAUGCAGUACCUCACUCCGCCUGAAACGAUCUAUUAUAAGGGGAUACACAUGUAUUUAUGGCUAGUGUGUGUGUGUGUGUAUGUAUGUAUGUAUGUAUGUAUAUGUAUGUGUGUGUGUAUAUAUAUAUAUAUAUAUAUAUAUAUAUAUAUAUAUAUAUAUAUAUAUAUAUAUAUAUAUAUUAGUGCUGUCAAUCGAUUAAAAAAAUUAACUAAUUAAUCACACAAUUUUUUUUAAAUUAAUCGCGAUUAAUCGCAAUUCAAAGACUGAAACUUUUUGGAUAUGUAAAUGUAAAAUGUAAAUAAUUAAUGUAAACUCAAGACAAAGAAACUAUUUAAAUUCAAAAUAUGAUUAUUUAUUGGAAUUUUUGUUUAACUUGUAACACAGAUUUUCUCAUGUAAACAACAUACCUGCAAUAAACCAUCAAUAUCCUCCAAAUUAACUGUUGGCUUGAAAGCCAUAUUUAUUACAGAAAUAAAAAACACAGGCCUGUAAGUGCCAUUUGAAUUCCAAAACAAUCAAUGCCAAUAAAAAACAAAAAUUAUUUCCAAGUUGAAUUCUAAGUGGACUGCAAAAAAAUUCCAAAGUAUAGUCAUUGCCAGUGCUUUAAGUGGGCCGGUACCCACUGGUACUCAGUACCGCCACUUCCAAAUAUAGCUCUUGAGCGUACCGCCACCUCUCCGUGCGCCCAGAACGUGCUUUUAGCGUACUGGUACGCUCAUUUGGACAUCUGUUUUAAUAGAGGUUUUAAUCUUUUACCUGCACUGCCGAUUUUCAGAGCGCCCUUCACAAUGCAAGCUUCCUAAUUCAUCCCACCCAGAGCAGAAACUACAUUACCCAUUCACCCUUAAGUUACACAAGUGAAUAGCGCAUGUGUCGCUUUUCCCACUGUUAAGUGUCAACAACUCAACGUGGCCGGAGAAGGCGUGUGAAACUCGUUGUGAGUGUACACCACACUCGGUUCGGUUAAAAAUCAAAUACAGUUAACAACAACACUUAAUAUGUUUUCUUGGCUUCAGACUCUGAAUACUGCAAGAACAAGACCAGAAUCAGAUGAUUCGCUGACUGACACCUCCCCAAAUUUGAAUCCUAUCACUGCAGGUCAGACUCAAGCUAAUGAAGUAGGCUAAUGCAGCUCUUUCAGGAAGGGUGACCAGAUGUCCCGAAAAAUUCGGGACAGUCCCGAAAUCUAAACUGUUGUACCGACUCCCGAAUCUGGCCCUAAUUGUCCCGAAAAUUAUACUAAAGCAAAAUCUUGAGUAUUUAUUGUCUGAUAAACAUUAAAAACUGUCUGCGGAGGUGGAGUCGUCCUGCAGCCAGCCCCUGCUGGCUGCUCAUUGGCUGCAGCAUCUUUUUUCUAAAAAAAAAAAAGUUCUAAAAAAAUACCGUAGACGGCAAGACACAAAUUUAGAUAUUCAUUUAUCUAAUUAAUCUAUAGCCUAUGCACAAAGACAAUAUGAUCUUUUUGUCCCCUUUUUGUUUUAAAGCUUGAUGAAGAGAGAGAACGCAAGUUGCUGCAGCUGCGAGGAGGACAGUGAUGCACGCGUACAGGGGUGAUUGACAGUUCACGGCACUGUGUACAAAAAAUACUCCGCUACACAAUUAUUUCGUUAUUUUCGUUUAAGCUUAUUAACGUUAGCGUUAUAGAAAGGUCUGAUUUACGCACUGUUACAACAGUCAUUGUUUUUGUUUUUUUGUUUUUAAACAAUGACAUUUGAGUUCAUGAUUUUAAUGUUGCUGUUUCUUGUGGCAGACUGAAUGAAGAGUAAUGUUUCUUGUGGCAGACUGAAGAGUAAUCCGGCAGAGUUUUAUACUGAAACUUUCCGUCUAAAAGUCCUUCCUUGGUCUUAUCCAUAUUUCUUUGCACGUUGAACACACAUAGGCCACAACCGGAAAUAAAAAAAACUGCAACCGCGUUAACGUUUUACGUUAAUUUAACGUUUUACGCGUUAAAUAUUUCAAAUUAAUCGAAUGCAUUAACGCGCUAAUUUUGACAGCAUAUAUAUAUAUAUAUAUAUAUAUAUAUAUAUAUAUAUAUAUAUAUAUAUAUACAGUAUUGUUCAAAAUAAUAGCAGUACAAUGUGACUAACCAGAAUAAUCA